rnacentral:rRNA from 1 species
AAUACCGCAUAAGACCACGGGAUCACAUGGUUCUGGGGUAAAAGAUUUAUCGGUUUGGGGUGGGCUCGCGUCCGAUUAGGUAGUUGGUGAGGUAACGGCCCACCAAGCCGACGAUCGGUAGCCGACCUGAGAGGGUGAUCGGCCACAUUGGGACUGAGACACGGCCCAAACUCCUACGGGAGGCAGCAGUGGGAAUAUUGGGCAAUGGAGGAAACUCUGACCCAGCAACGCCGCGUGGAGGAAGAAGGUUUUCGGAUCGUAAACUCCUGUCCUUGGAGACGAGUAGAAGACGGUAUCCAAGGAGGAAGCCCCGGCUAACUACGUGCCAGCAGCCGCGGUAAUACGUAGGGGGCAAGCGUUGUCCGGAAUAAUUGGGCGUAAAGGGCGCGUAGGCGGCUCGGUAAGUCUGGAGUGAAAGUCCUGCUUUUAAGGUGGGAAUUGCUUUGGAUACUGUCGGGCUUGAGUGCAGGAGAGGUUAGUGGAAUUCCCAGUGUAGCGGUGAAAUGCGUAGAGAUUGGGAGGAACACCAGUGGCGAAGGCGACUAACUGGACUGUAACUGACGCUGAGGCGCGAAAGUGUGGGGAGCAAACAGGAUUAGAUACCCUGGUAGUCCACACUGUAAACGAUGAAUGCUAGGUGUAGGGGGUAUCGACCCCUUCUGUGCCGCAGUCAACACAAUAAGCAUUCCGCCUGGGGAGUACGGCCGCAAGGUUGAAACUCAAAGGAAUUGACGGGGGCCCGCACAAGCAGCGGAGCAUGUGGUUUAAUUCGACGCAACGCGAAGAACCUUACCAGGUCUUGACAUCCACUUAAACUUACAGAGAUGUAAGGUGUGCUUGCACAAAGUGAGACAGGUGGUGCAUGGUUGUCGUCAGCUCGUGUCGUGAGAUGUUGUGUUAAGUCCCGCAACGAGCGCAACCCUUAUCUUCAGUUACUAACGCGUGAGGGUGAGGACUCUGAAGAGACUGCCGGGGACAACUCGGAGGAAGGUGGGGACGACGUCAAAUCAUCAUGCCCCUUAUGACCUGGGCUACACACGUGCUACAAUGGCCACGACAGAGAGAAGCGAAAUCGCAAGGUAGAGCGGAACUCAAAAAAGUGGUCCCAGUUCGGAUUGUGGGCUGCAACCCGCCCACAUGAAGUCGGAGUUGCUAGUAAUCGCGGAUCAGCAUGCCGCGGUGAAUACGUUCCCGGGCCUUGUACACACCGCCCGUCACACCAUGGGAGUUGGGAGUGCCCAAAGCCGGUGAGGUAACCGCAAGGAGCCAGCCGUCUAAGGCAAGACCAAUGACUGGGGUGAAGUCGUAACAAGGUA